UGGCCAUACUACUUCUGAAAACGCCGGUUCUCGUGUUAUCUCUAAAAUUAAGCAUUAUAGGGUGCGGUUGGUACUUAAGAGGUUGACCACCUGGGAACCCCAUG